rnacentral:tRNA from 1 species
AAAGCUUUAAGUUAAAUAAACUAUUAACCUUCAAAGUUAAAAAUAUAAUUUUUAUAAGCUUUA